ensembl:lncRNA
CCCCAACCCAGACCCGACUCUCCUGAUUCAAAAACACCAGGGCGGCAGCAGCACCAAUGGCCUUGCUGCAAGGGCUGUCUUUUUAAAUUAUUGUUUAGUCCAGAUAUAUGUCCAGAGUGGGAUUUCUGGGGCAUAUGAAGUUCUAUUUUUAGUUUUUUGAGGAAUCUCCACACUCUUUUUUUCAUAGUGGCUGCACCAACUUAAAUCCCCAUGACGGUGAUUACUUCUUAGAGGUGCCCAUGGGCUCCUCGGGUGAUACUGGUGAGGACCCCAACACUAAGCAGUCUGACUGAAUGUCUACAACCUCGCCAGGCAACAAUUUCAACAGAAAACUGGAAGACCGCAGGUGCUCCACAGGGCUGUAGGGCUCUGUGUGCCUGUGCCUGUCUCUGCUUCUGGCUGCAGCAUCCUGAAGCCUCAGCCCCCCUGUGCUCUGAAGCUGAGGAGCCAUCCAGAGCCUUCAGCGGCUGUCUUGGGUACUCAUCUUUCUGGUUGGGGUGACACUCUACCCUUGGAAGCACCCGAGUCCAGGUUCACCACGAAAGCACAGCAAAGUGAGAACACGACAACACGGCACUGGGAGAACAUGCAGAGCUUCUGCAUUUGCUAUUCCCUCUGCCUGGAAAACCCUUCUACCAAGUCUUCUCAUUGCUGGCCCCAUCUUACUAUUCAGGCUUCGGCUCCAAUGUUGAUCCCCUUAGAGAAGCCUCCCCAGAACACCCCACAGCCAUCUGAAGCUGUGCAGUUUGUGUCCCCCCAAAUUAGCACCCCGCCCCCACUCUUUAUUGCAUUGUCUACUUUUGUCUUUAUAGCAGAUAUCAGUGCUACCUGAAAUUAUGUAUUUCACAUACGUGAAAUUACAUUAUUUAUCUGCUUGUUGCCUGUGUCUUUCAUGUAAACCUCGUGGGAGUAAGGACUGUCUUUGUCUUGGUCCUUGUUCUGCUCCUGGUGCCUGUCAUGUAGUAGGUGCUCAGGAAAUUUGUUGACAUUCUCUCUCCUUAUUUUGGGGAGCUAUACCUACUUACCUACUUAUGUGUGUGAUGUGUGCAGGUUGCUCAAUUGUGUCUGACUCUUUGUGACCCUAUGGACUAUACAGUCCAUGGAAUUCUUCAGGCCAGAAUACUGGAGAGGGGAGCCGUUCCCUUUUCUAGGGGAUCUUCCCAACCCAGGGAUUAAACCCAGGUCUCCUGCAUUGCAGGCGAAUUCUUUACCCACUGAGCCACCAAGGAAGUCCUACUUAACUUGUAUUUUUAUUUUACUAAUAAAUAGUUUCUUAGAUUUGUUAGUUUACA